rnacentral:lncRNA from 1 species
GGAAGACCUGCCAGUGAGACAAGGAGGCGGGAUCUUCCAGGUGCCUUUCUGCAAGUUCACUAUGGCAGUGCAGACUUGAAUGGCUCUCUGUGUCCUGCUCUGAACUCAGGUGUUGGGUGCUGUAAGGGGACCUCAGCAAAGUUCUGAAGUUGAGACACAGGGUCACUGCCCACAAUUCAGAGGAGCAGGGUGUGUGGACCACCUGGGGAUCUCCAUUCCCACACACAGCAUCCUCUCCCACUGAGGCCAGACAUGGCAGUCCAUUAAGGGAACAGAUUCCAAAGAUAGGCAGCAGCUUUAUGGCCAGUCAGUGCUACAGUUAUUGGAGGACCCUCAUGAAAACUGAGCUGCACAUCUGCUACCUACAUGUCAGGGGCCUUAGUCCAGCCUGUGUAUCCUAUUUGGAUGCAGUGACUUAUGAUGCUGUGCAUGUGAACUUUCCUAGGGAAGAGUAGAAUUUGCUGGAUCCUUCCUAGAAGAGUCUCUACAAAGAUGUGAUGCAGGAAACCUACUUGGACCUCACUGUUAUAGGCCACACUUGGGAAGACUAUCAUAUUGAAGGACAUUGUCAAAGUUUGAGAAGACAUGAAAGGUAAUCUUCAUGUGCACUCUGAUACGCAUAUGGCUCUGAGGAAAUUUUAAUAUGUUCUGGAAGCUCUAAAGAAAAGCAAGAGUGCCGGGCAGUAGUGGCGGACACCUUUAAUCCCAGCACUUGGGAGGAAGAAGCAACACAGAAAAACCUGAGAAAAGUGGCUCAGGACAGGACCCUGGCGAUUCAAGAAUAGAAACCAACCUCAGAGGAGGAAUCUGACUCAGAAAAUAAAUUCACAUAACAUUGUGAAUAUAAAGGGCUUGCUGUGUGCAUUUAAAGAGGAGCCAGUCCACAGGACCCCCUGAAAAACAUGAAAAGGCAGUAAAAGAUUCUGACAGAUUGUAAAAGGUCACAAAAGACCUGAAAUUGGCAAAACAGAUUUCAUUUUUAUUAGAAGUACCUCCAUUGAUUUAGAAAAAUAGAGGUGCACAAUGCUCUGGCCACACCUCGAACCUGUGUGUCUGCCAAUGUUGUGACCGUUCCUUGAACCCAGGUGUGACCCACUGC